UCCCGCCCCUUGCGUCUCGCGGGCAAUGACGUCCGCCGAGGCGCAGGGUGCGCCGCGCGGCGUGAUGGCGUCAGCGAGCGCGCGCUGGCGUUCUGCGAGGCUGUUGGGAUCCGCGCCCGGCCGAAGCCCGCGGCGUGGCCGUGCACGUGCGCCCUGCGCUUCCGCUGAAGACGCAAAGGAGCUGCGGGAGCCGCGGCCCGCGGGAAAGGCGGGGCGGGCGUCCGGGGCUACGGGAAGGGCGGCGCCCGCGCACCUUCCUCUGCGUCCCUGCGGGCCGGGGCUUCUGCGCAAUAAAGUCCGCAGUGGAAGGGUUAAAAACGAGUUGUGAGCACGUUUGGGAUUGGGCAGGUCUGAGAGGAGCACCUCGUCAGACACAUCCAAUCCAUCAUCUCUUCAAAAAAUGCAAAGUGGACUACGAAUGUAGCUCAUGGUAAAGGCCCUGGGUUAAUCGCCAGUGCUGAGAAGAAAAGGAAAAACCAGAAAGGCAGAGAUACCGGAGAGGCUGCACACAGUGACUGUUGCUACAAGACUCACACCUAUACCUGCAACAGGUGUUUCAGGAUGCUCCCUGCGCCCAGGCCCACGGCAGACGCAAACCCCUGUGCGUGAGAAAUGGCCUUCUUCACCAUCCCAUCGAGCCUGGCAUCUGGCACACCACGCAGUGAAGCACUGGUUGAAUGGGUGGGUGUGUGGGUGGGCGAGUGGAUGGUUUUCACACAUUUGGGAGUAGAAAUGUUCUCAUGGCAUAGCUGCUGCUUCAGGGAUUGAACUCCGUAGACAAGCAAAUCCUUGCUGGGAGCUUCCCUGGAUACGGCCUUCAAGAGGAAGCUGCCUGCUGGGCGGCAGCCAUAGCAUGGAACAAGGAUUAGCUCAGAAAGCGAGUUGCAAUAACUGGUCACUGCUUCAAGGAAAAACCAGACCCCAGUUAAACAGUGCCCCCAAACAUCACUAAUGGAAUUAAGAAUUCAGAUGUAGAAAAGGAUGCCAAAGAACCGGUACGAAUUUUGUUUAAUGUAGGUGAAUAUUCACUUUGUCUUGUAGGGGGGAAAGUUAGGGCUAAGUUCUUCAGAUGGAUUCCACAAAAUAAAUCAUUGAUUGAGGUAAAAUAGCAUUGUUAAAAACUAUAAAUUACACAGAGCGUGCUGGCACAUGCCUGCAAUCCCAGCAUUCAGAGGCUGAGGAAGGAGGA